UUGGGGAUUUGGCUCAGUGGUAGAGCGCUUGCCUAGGAAGCACAAGGUCCUGGGUUCGAUCCCCAGUCCUGAAA
rnacentral:tRNA from 1 species